GAUGAACGCUGGCGGCGUGCCUAAUACAUGCAAGUCGAGCGAACGGACGAGAAGCUUGCUUCUCUGAUGUUAGCGGCGGACGGGUGAGUAACACGUGGAUAACCUACCUAUAAGACUGGGAUAACUUCGGGAAACCGGAGCUAAUACCGGAUAAUAUUUUGAACCGCAUGGUUCAAAAGUAAAAGACGGUCUUGCUGUCACUUAUAGAUGGAUCCGCGCUGCAUUAGCUAGUUGGUAAGGUAACGGCUUACCAAGGCAACGAUGCAUAGCCGACCUGAGAGGGUGAUCGGCCACACUGGAACUGAGACACGGUCCAGACUCCUACGGGAGGCAGCAGUAGGGAAUCUUCCGCAAUGGGCGAAAGCCUGACGGAGCAACGCCGCGUGAGUGAUGAAGGUCUUCGGAUCGUAAAACUCUGUUAUUAGGGAAGAACAUAUGUGUAAGUACCUGUGCACAUCUUGACGGUACCUAAUCAGAAAGCCACGGCUAACUACGUG
rnacentral:rRNA from 1 species